ACUUUAAAGAAGUCUUUCCUUUGUCUUACGGCUUCCAGAAUUCCUGAUGAGGAGUCUGCUAUCAAUCUUAUCUUGUGGCUUUGAAGGUUCUGCAGGCUGUACAAGAGACACGGCACCAACAUCUGCAUCUGGGGAGGACUUCAGGCUACUUCAUUCACAGCACAAAAUGAAGGGGAGCAGUGUGUGCUGAGAUCACGUGGUGGUGAG
rnacentral:lncRNA from 10 species